GGGCCGCUAGCUCAGUUGGUAGAGCAACAGCCUUUUAAGCUGUGGGUCGGCAGUUCAAUCCUGCCGCGGCUCA
rnacentral:tRNA from 1 species